GCUAGUUGUACGAGUUUAGACUCGUAGCAGAUAGCUCAGUAACACGUUACCCUCUGGACGCGGAUAACCUCGGGAAACUGAGGCUAAUCCGUGAUAGCGUUCCCACACUGGAGUGUGGGGAACGUGAAAUGCUCCGGCGCCAGAGGAUGUGGCUGCGGCCGAUUAGGUAGACGGUGGGGUAACGGCCCACCGUGCCAGUAAUCGGUACGGGUUGUGAGAGCAAGAGCCCGGAGACGGUAUCUGAGACAAGAUACCGGGCCCUACGGGGCGCAGCAGGCGCGAAACCUUUACACUGCACGCCAGUGCGAUAAGGGGACUCCAAGUGCGAGGGCAUAUAGUCCUCGCUUUUCACUACCGUAAGGUGGUAGUAGAAUAAGUGCUGGGCAAGACCGGUGCCAGCCGCCGCGGUAAUACCGGCAGCACGAGUGAUGACCGCUAUUAUUGGGCCUAAAGCGUCCGUAGCUGGCCGUGCAAGUCCAUCGGGAAAUCCGCGUGCUUAAC
rnacentral:rRNA from 1 species